GACCGAACUGCGCAUGCGUUGGCAAAAGCAAAACAAAUUGUUUGAAAUAUUUUAUUCUUUCGUCUAUAAAAUGAUUAUUUUUUCGGGGUUUUGGUGGAAAUGUUGAUGUUCUUCAUAGUGAGAUACAAAAGGUGUGUUAGCGACUGAAUAAGGAAAAUAUUGCGUGUGAAACAGGGUCAGUAUAGAGCCGGCAGGAGCCGCGAAGAGUGCUGUUGUCGAAGAAAAAUGUCACAAUUAAUUGUAAUCUUGUCCAUUCCGGCCUCUGUGUCAGUUUGAAAAAGCUUUAAAUGUAGAGACAUUUGUGGUUUCUCCAGCAUAAUUUAGCCGUUUAACGCUAUUAUGUUUCUAAUGAUUGAAAGAGCGCGUGGAAAGGGCAAUUUUCAAGAACAAAAACAAUUACAAU
rnacentral:lncRNA from 1 species